rnacentral:rRNA from 1 species
CACGUAGGGGGCAAGCGUUGUCCGGAAUCAUUGGGCGUAAAGAGCUCGUAGGCGGUUUGGUAAGUCGAGUGUGAAAACUCCAGGCUCAACCUGGAGACGCCGCUCGAGACUGCCAUGACUAGAGUCCGGUAGGGGACCACGGAAUUCCUGGUGUAGCGGUGGAAUGCACAGAGAUCAGGAGGAACACCGGUGGCGAAGGCGGUGGUCUGGGCCGGAACUGACGCUGAGGAGCGAAAGCGUGGGGAGCAAACAGG